rnacentral:rRNA from 1 species
AGCCGCCGCGGGAAUACGGAGGGUGCAAGCGUUAAUCGGAAUUACUGGGCGUAAAGCGCACGCAGGCGGUCUGACAAGUCAGAUGUGAAAUCCCCGGGCUUAACCUGGGAACUGCAUUUGAAACUGUCAGGCUGGAGUCUUGUAGAGGGGGGUGGAAUUCCAGGUGUAGCGGUGAAAUGCGUAGAGAUCUGGAGGAAUACCGGUGGCGAAGGCGGCCCCCUGGACAAAGACUGACGCUCAGGUGCGAAAGCGUGGGGAGCAAACAGGAUUAGAUACCCCGGUAGUCCCUGUCUCUUAUACA